GCUCCUAUCGACUAACUGGUUUAGGUCAGGCGACUUUCAAUCGUCAAAUCCGGGUUCGAGUCCCGGUAGGAGUACCA
rnacentral:tRNA from 3 species